rnacentral:rRNA from 1 species
ACGAACGCUGGCGGCGUGCCUAAUACAUGCAAGUCGAACGCUUCUUUCCUCCCGAGUGCUUGCACUCAAUUGGAAAGAGGAGUGGCGGACGGGUGAGUAACACGUGGGUAACCUACCCAUCAGAGGGGGAUAACACUUGGAAACAGGUGCUAAUACCGCAUAACAGUUUAUGCCGCAUGGCAUAAGAGUGAAAGGCGCUUUCGGGUGUCGCUGAUGGAUGGACCCGCGGUGCAUUAGCUAGUUGGUGAGGUAACGGCUCACCAAGGCCACGAUGCAUAGCCGACCUGAGAGGGUGAUCGGCCACACUGGGACUGAGACACGGCCCAGACUCCUACGGGAGGCAGCAGUAGGGAAUCUUCGGCAAUGGACGAAAGUCUGACCGAGCAACGCCGCGUGAGUGAAGAUGGUGUUCGGAUCGUAAAACUCUGUUGUUAGAGAAGAACAAGGACGUUAGUAACUGAACGUCCCCUGACGGUAUCUAACCAGAAAGCCACGGCUAACUACGUG